rnacentral:rRNA from 1 species
UACGUAGGGUGCGAGCGUUGUCCGGAAUUAUUGGGCGUAAAGAGCUCGUAGGCGGUCUGUCGCGUCGGUCGUGAAAACUUGGGGCUUAACCCUGAGCUUGCGGUCGAUACGGGCAUGACUGGAGUUCGGCAGGGGAGACUGGAAUUCCUGGUGUAGCGGUGAAAUGCGCAGAUAUCAGGAAGAACACCCGUGGCGAAGGCGGCUCUCUGGGCG